rnacentral:rRNA from 1 species
GGGGAAUAUUGGACAAUGGGCGAAAGCCUGAUCCAGCAAUGCCGCGUGAGUGAUGAAGGCCUUCGGGUUGUAAAGCUCUUUUACCCGGGAAGAUAAUGACUGUACCGGGAGAAUAAGCCCCGGCUAACUUCGUGCCAGCAGCCGCGGUAAUACGAAGGGGGCUAGCGUUGUUCGGAAUUACUGGGCGUAAAGCGCACGUAGGCGGCUACUUAAGUUAGAGGUGAAAGCCCAGGGCUUAACCUUGGAACUGCCUUUAAGACUGGGUAGCUUGAACACGGGAGAGGUGAGUGGAAUUCCGAGUGUAGAGGUGAAAUUCGUAGAUAUUCGGAGGAACACCAGUGGCGAAGGCGGCUCACUGGACCGUUGUUGACGCUGAGGUGCGAAAGCGUGGGGAGCAAAC